GAUGAACGCUGGCGGCGUGCUUAACACAUGCAAGUCGAACGGAAAGGCCCAAGCUUGCUUGGGUACUCGAGUGGCGAACGGGUGAGUAACACGUGGGUGAUCUGCCCUGCACUUCGGGAUAAGCCUGGGAAACUGGGUCUAAUACCGGAUAGGACCACUUCUUGGAUGUUGUGGUGGAAAGUUUUUUCGGUGUGGGAUGAGCUCGCGGCCUAUCAGCUUGUUGGUGGGGUAAUGGCCUACCAAGGCGUCGACGGGUAGCCGGCCUGAGAGGGUGUACUGCCACAUUGGGACUGAGAUACGGCCCAGACUCCUACGGGAGGCAGCAGUGGGGAAUAUUGCACAAUGGGCGCAAGCCUGAUGCAGCGACGCCGCGUGGGGGAUGACGGCCUUCGGGUUGUAAACUCCUUUCGCUAGGGACGAAGCGUUUUGUGACGGUACCUGGAGAAGAAGCACCGGCUAACUACGUG
rnacentral:rRNA from 1 species